GGCUGUAGCUCAGUGGCAGAGCGCUUGCCUAGCAUGUGUGAGGCUCUGGGUUCGAUCUUCAGCACCA
rnacentral:tRNA from 1 species